ensembl:lncRNA
ACUUACUUUCUCCUUUUAUAUUUAAUUAAUUUGGAUCUCUUUCUCUCCUCUAAUAAGAUAGACUUGUCUCUGUUUGAAAUUGUCAAUGCGAUUUUUUUCUUUUGUGAUGAAUGUUGUUUCUUUAAGCUCUUCCUCUGUAGUGAAGUUUUAUUUUUCACGUGUGUCUUCUUAGGACUCUGCCUCUGGAGAAAGGGCAUCCAUUCGGGGUGCUUGUGUCUGCCCUCCCUUCGCAGCUGUGAGCGUCUUGCUCGGUUGACACGAGCUGUGCGCCCUCCGGUUCCCACCACGGCAAGCCAUCCUUUCUCCCUUCAGAGGCAAGCGAAAAGGAGCAGAAUUCCGGCUUCACCAUCCCUGGUGACGAGCGGGCAGGGAGACUGUUCUCCUGAACCACGACCACCUCGUCACGGGUUGCCUCGCCCUCCCGUCACGGCUGGGCCAGCAGAGGCCAGGUGCCCCGAGUCCCCUCUCCUGGAUCCUCGGAGCGGGACGCUCCUCCAGGAAAGGACUUCCUCUCCCCACCGGCUGCGGGGACUGGGCGGCUGGCUGAUGGCUCGGCCCCCACUGACGGAGCUUUUCCAGUUUUGGAAAGUGGCGUGUGCCUCCUUGCCCGGGCAGACGGUAAUUUAUGCUGCGAAUUCAGGCCUGGGCGUGACGACUCAGUCCUUUCAGGCCCCUGAAAACCUGCUCCAGCCGCCAGCAGCACUGCCUCUGACCUGCCCUCGCCCACCGCCCUCGGCUCCCUGUCCCUGCCCGCCUCUCCCUCCAGGCCCCCACCUGCAGCCGCGCCAGCUGACGCCUGCCAGCACAGGGACGCGGUGACACCUUCUGCAGAGUUUUCGGCCAGAGCUGGACUCCUCUGAGCCCUUAACAAGCAGCCUGCUCUGUAACAAACCACAGGACAAAUAAUCGCUCCAGUGUGGCAGCCUGAGCUACUUAUUUUGCUUGAUUUAUGGGGAGUGAGACCCAAGGAUGCCGUGGGGCUUUUCAGACAUUGCUAAGUGUACGCUGACGCCCAGCGGGGUUGGGAAGGGGCUCAGUCUCCCAUACUCCAGCCGGGGCACAGGGCCUGGCAGCUGCAGGGAUGGAACGACGUGGGAAAGGGGGCAGGGAGGACCCCCCAGCCCGGGCUGGCUCCAGCCUGUGCCCACCGCCCGUCGGUCCCCAGCAGGACUCAGGCCCAGGGGAUCACUGGCGCUUCUCUGAAGUGUGAGCCCACGGGGCAGCGCACCCAGGAGAACUGGCCGUGUUCUCCAUCUGCUCCAUGCAGCGCGGCCUUUGCACACAGAGCACUUGAAGUGUGGUUCUUGAAAAUGCAUGACUACAGUUUAUUUAUUGCUGUGGUUUAGUCGCUCAGUUGUGUCCAGCUCUUUGCAACCCCAUGGACUGUAGCCCUCCAGGUUCCUCUGUCCAUGGGAUUUCCCAGGCAAGAAUACUGGAGUGGGUUGCCAUUUAGUGGGUUGCCAUUUCCUUCUCCAGGGAAUCUUCCCGACCCACGGCUCAAACCCACACAACCAGCAUUGGCGCCAGAUUCUUUACCGCUGAGCCACCUUACCUUCCAUUAAUUUGCAGUUUGACUUAAAUAGCUACUUUAUCGGACAGCACAGCUUUGGGCAGCGAGGCAAAAAAAUUCCAGAUUUCUGCCAAUGUUUAUUUUCCUCUAACUGAAAUAUUCAGAGUGGCCUCACUGAGUUGGGCUCUGGGGGAGGGCUCCUGCGGCGUGCUGUGGGGGGCCUGGCUGGGAGGUCUCGCUCCAAAGGUAACAGUGGCUCGCUGGAGGCUCAUUCAGAAUCAUAAACACCCUGCAUGGCCUCUUGCUGGA